rnacentral:rRNA from 1 species
GAUGAACGCUGGCGGCGUGCCUAACACAUGCAAGUCGAACGGACAUUUUUUGGAAAGUUCUUCGGAACUGGAAUCUAAAUGUUAGUGGCGGACGGGUGAGUAACGCGUGAGCAAUCUGCCUUUCAGAGGGGGAUAACAGCCGGAAACGGCUGGCUAAUACCGCAUAAUGCAUCGGAUUCGCAUGUUGCAGUGUGGAAAGCCCUGGCGGUAUGAGAUGGACCCGCGUCUGAUUAGCUGGUUGGUGAGGUAGCGGCCCACCAAGGCGACGAUCAGUAGCCGGCCUGAGAGGGUGGACGGCCACAUUGGGACUGAGACACGGCCCAA